CAUAGGUUUGGUCCUGGCCUUCCCGUUGUCUUUUAACAAACUUACACAUGCAAGUAUCCUCAUCCCAGUGAGAAUGCCCUCCAGGUCAGUAAGACUAAAAGGAGCUGGUAUCAAGCACACACCCGUAGCUCACGACACCUUGCUUAGCCACACCCCCACGGGAUACAGCAGUGAUAAAAAUUAAGCUAUAAACGAAAGUUUGACUAAGUUAUGUUAACUAGGGUUGGUAAAUUUCGUGCCAGCCACCGCGGCCAUACGAUUAACCCAAGCUAACGGGAAUACGGCGUAAAACGUGUUUAAGCACCACACCAAAUAGAGUUAAAUUUUAAUUAAGCUGUAAAAAGCCAUAAUUACUGAAAAAAUAAAUAACGAAAGUGACUCUACAGUAGCUGAUACACCAUAGCUAAGACCCAAACUGGGAUUAGAUACCCCACUAUGCUUAGCCCUAAACACAGAUAAUUAUAUAAACAAAAUUAUUCGCCAGAGUACUACUAGCAAUAGCUUAAAACUCAAAGGACUUGGCGGUGCUUCAUAUCCCUCUAGAGGAGCCUGUUCUAUAAUCGAUAAACCCCGAUAAACCUCACCAAUUCUUGCUAAUACAGUCUAUAUACCGCCAUCUUCAGCAAACCCUAAAAAGAAAUAAAAGUAAGCGUAAUCAUAACACAUAAAAAAGUUAGGUCAAGGUGUAACCUAUGAAAUGGGAAGAAAUGGGCUACAUUUUCUUAAACCAAGAAAACAACACACGAAAGCUAUUAUGAAAUUAAUAGCCAAAGGAGGAUUUAGCAGUAAACUAAGAAUAGAGUGCUUAGUUGAACCAGGCCAUGAAGCACGCACACACCGCCCGUCACCCUCCUCAAACAAUAUUAAUGUCCCAAAAUUUAUUUACAUGCAUUAACCACGAGAGAGGAGAUAAGUCGUAACAAGGUAAGCAUACUGGAAAGUGUGCUUGGAUAAAU
rnacentral:ncRNA from 1 species